UCCUUUCUUCUCCCCAAAAGAAGUCACUGCCUCAAGAACAUUCAGUGGCUUUCUCAUCAUGCAUUCAGACAACUCCUGAUGCUGUAACCUCAAGAGCAUUCAGCUAAAGCCAUCUCGAUGUAUCUUUGUCAAGCUUAAUAGUAGUUCUGUAUUGGACCCCAAAAACUCUUAAAAGGGGUUUUCAUGUCUACAAUGUUAUAAAUAAUUUUGGCACCUUUUUUGCCAUUACUACUCCCUUUCACAAUUGUCUGAAAGCAUAUUUGAUAUGAAGCAUACCAGCAAGCAUGUCAUUUGUGGAGGAGACGAGAACCAGAAUAAUUUUCUACAUCAAUGGCAUCUAUGUCCAUCUAAUAUUUUUGGGCUUUUUAACACCUUCAAUCUAUGGUAACUAGAUUUAUGGAUCGAAAACUUGAAGAUAAAAAAGGCUAGUAACCUCGGUCUAUUUGAGACUUCUCUUUCAGACCUAUUUGAUACAAGAUGAAAAAGCAAAUGGAACCAACAAUCUUGCAACAUGGAAGACAAAAUUUUUCAUGCUCAUGCAUAUACAAGAUCCAGGGUUUUGAGUUUCUAGCUGAAGGAGGUGAAACUAUUAACCCAAUAUGUAAGACACCAAUUUUAUGUUUCUUUAUGUCUUCAGUAUUUUUUUUUUAGAAAUAAAAUUGUUGGACAUUUUUCUGUGCAAUUUAUUUUCUGAAAUAAUAUGGAUAUUUAUGCCAUUUUGUGUGUGCAAUUUUAUUUUUUAAAUAUUAGAUGAAAGUAGAGAUAAAUAUUAUAUAUAAAAGAAAAUUGAUCACCCACUUCUCCACUUCCUAAGUUUCUGGGUUAAUAGGUAGCACCACUUCCUCCUCCAGAAAGCAGAUAAAUGGAAAAAGAAACUGUCUUUUGGCGCUUAACUUUUUUUAGGUUUUUGCUCCAAAACAAUUUCAGGACAACCACUAUAUAUAUGAGAAAACAAACGAAAAAGUUUUAUCUUUGCAAAGUGAAGAAAUUUUUUUGAACCUGAACAAGAAGACGAGGUAUGUAUCAGCCCCUCUAUUUUAUGUUUGAAGAAAAUUAAACAGAUAGUUAUAUGCCGCAGAAGAUUUGUUCAUUUUGUUUGAACAAAAUUAAACAAAUAGUUAUAUGCCACAGAAGAUUUUUUCAUUGAUUAUUUGUUUCAUGUACAUUGAUAUUGCUUUACUAUUGUGUCCGACAAUCAAUCAGAAGAUAAAAAAGUCAAUUAUAAGUUUCUGAAUUAGAAACACCCUAAUUACUAAGUAUAUUACAUUGUGUGGUGUGCAUAUUUACUAUUGGUGUGUGACACAUACUAUUGAAGCAUAACAUUUUUCAAGGCAUAUAUUGAAACAACUUCUCUGUUUUGUUCAUAUAUUGAUGUUUUCCCUCGAUUUUUUAGGAAAGAGAUGAUGGAUUGUAGUGAAAACAUGGUAUGAAAGUCUAUAAAGUGAAACUUGCUUCUUGAACUUGGAAUGUAGAAUUAGGAUAUGAAAUGAAACCUUGGAUUUGAAUGAACUAAACCAAAAUCAUUUUAGAUGAAUAUUCUGUGGGACAAUUAAUUUUUUUACUAAAACUAAUAGACAUUUCUUCACGGGGCUUGGUAUUUAUAAGAUCUACAACCUCUUCUUAACACUUUAGCUUAUAUAAGUUCUCAGAAAAGUUAUUGUGCCUUUAAAUUUGGACAUUUCCUGCAUAAUCUGCUAGUUUUUUUUUGGUAAAAUCAAAUCUACAAUCUGGUCUGUAUCUACUAUACACAACUGUUUACACCAAAAAAGUAGAGAUACUAUACAAUUCCAUUUGACCUUGUGUAUGGAAUUGGAUCUAUUGUCGAAACAUCUACUGUUCCUUUCCUUCCAAACUGACCACCAUAUACAUGAUGGUAUUAACCUCCACCAUCUCUUCUGGCUCUUGGUACCUCCUCUCCUUACCCAGCUCUUCAACACGUUUGAUGUACGUUCUGGCAUUGUCCAAUUCAGAUUUGAGAUGCUAAGGAACAAAUUCCAGAUUUGAGCAGUGUAAUUACAGUGCAAGAAGAGGUGGCUGUUAGUUUCACUUGUCAAAUUGCAUAAAAAACACCUAGGGACCAGCUGUCUACCCUUCUUCUGAAGUACUUCUUGUGUUAAACAAGCUCUCUUUAUCACUAGCCAAGUGAAGCAUUUCACUUUUGUAGGAAUAUCCCCCUUCCAAAAAUAGUUCCAGAGGUGUGUUGGUCUCCCUGCCAUCACCUGGAGACCUCUUCUGUAAGCACUGUUGGCUGAGAAGAGGCCAUCUUUGCUGUGCUUCCACAACAUUGUAGCCAAUCUUUCUAACGCUGCUACUCUAAAUAUAAAGAGUCAUUUUGGUGCUCCCAAGUUAUGGCAUACUAGUCUUCUCCAUGGGACUCUAUGAAAAAGUCCUGAUAUUUCCAUAUAUAGCUUCUGAAUGAAAUUUUUUUUGCAUAGAAAGAUAGUGAUCAUAGUCAUAACCUGCCGAUCCAAAGGACUUUUUUCGUUUAUAUGCUAGUGAUGCUUCAAUAGUUCAAUUAAUAUUAGAAAGAACAGUGAAAUCUUAUUAAUAAAUAAUGUGAGUGAGAUUUUCCAGAUUGAUGAUUUAUGAAAUUUUUAGAUUUUUCUUUAGUUGUCAACGGUUGGUGCUUUUAUAUUAACUAAUUUUGUUAAACUAAUGGAUUUUAUGUCUUAUGGACAUUCUAACAUUACUUAUUGUGUUUUGAUAGUGUUCUGCCAGUCAAUGGCACCAGGUGGACGUGUCUUUAAGCAAGCUAUACUUACAGGGGAAACUAUUCAAGAUACUCAAUCACUGGAUGAAUUAAAUAACCCUACUCCUCUUGUUAAUACAG
rnacentral:lncRNA from 1 species